GAUGAACGCUAGCGGCAGGCUUAACACAUGCAAGUCGAGGGGUAACGAUUGGAGCUUGCUUCAAGUCGACGACCGGCGCACGGGUGCGUAACGCGUAUAGAACCUACCUUUUACAGAGGAAUAGCCCAGAGAAAUUUGGAUUAAUGCCUCAUGGUAUUGCGAGAUCGCAUGAUUUUGUAAUUAAACAUUUAUGGGUAAAAGAUGGCUAUGCGUCUUAUUAGUUAGUUGGUAAGGUAACGGCUUACCAAGACAUCGAUAAGUAGGGGUCCUGAGAGGGAGAUCCCCCACACUGGUACUGAGACACGGACCAGACUCCUACGGGAGGCAGCAGUGAGGAAUAUUGGACAAUGGAGGCAACUCUGAUCCAGCCAUGCCGCGUGUAGGAAGACUGCCCUAUGGGUUGUAAACUACUUUUAUAUGGGAAGAAACCCUGUUACGUGUAGCAGAUUGACGGUACCAUAAGAAUAAGGAUCGGCUAACUCCG
rnacentral:rRNA from 1 species